UACGGAGGGUGCAAGCGUUAAUCGGGAUUACUGGGCGUAAAGCGAGUGCAGGCGGCUACGUAAGUCGGAUGUGAAAGCCCCGGGCUUAACCUGGGAAUUGCAUUCGAUACUGCGUAGCUAGAGUCUGAUAGAGGGAAGUGGAAUUCCAGGUGUAGCGGUGAAAUGCGUAGAUAUCUGGAGGAACAUCAGUGGCGAAGGCGGCUUCCUGGAUCAAGACUGACGCUGAGGAGCGAAAGCGUGGGGAGCAAACAGG
rnacentral:misc_RNA from 1 species